AAAAAUUACAUUUAAUGCGCCUCUAUCUAUGCACAUUGUCUCACACCUAGCCGUUUUCAAGACUUAGCUAGUCUUCCAAAAAAACUGCAAAACCCAUCUUCUAGCUUCUGAAAGCACCAUCUUCUUCUUCUCUUAAAGAAUCGAAUCCAUCUUCUUCUGGAAGCCCAUCUUCUCAAAACACCAUCUUCUGAAAACACUCGACUAGGUUCGAUCUACUCGGACAAAGAAAAAAAAAAAUUCACACUUCCCCUCUCUCAUUUCACUUCUCUCUCUGCGAUUCUCUGAGUCGCAAACCCUAACCUCUCUUUUCUUCGAUCUUCGAUUUUCGGUUUUCAAGAUGCGGGAGAUUCUCCUGUCUCUACUCUCUCGACUUGAGAUUGGGGUUCCAUUCGUAAAGGAGGAUUUCAGGUUCGAUCUGUAAGAGGAGGGUUCUGUGUACUGAAAAAGGAGGUUAUUUGCUCUACAGGUUCUCCGUAGUGGGAAGAAUAAGCUCAUCAACGGAAAUGAAGGCUGGGUCUUCAAAACUCCAACAAAUCUCGUGAGUUCGUGGCCGAGACAUCUAAGACGAUGAGAUCAAAACAGCGGCGCUCAAGCAACAAGAUUAGGGUUUGGGAAAAGGAAGAGCGAAACGACUGCGUAAGGUCCUCCACCCAUUUCGUCCGCCUACUCUCUGCAUUCAGAUUCAAUUUCGUUAGGAUGAUAUUUUGAAUGAAGAUGAAGGCCUGAAACUAAAAAGGAGAAGAAUUCCAUCAUCUCUCAACCAGUUCACAAAGACAAUUGAUAAGAACCUUGCAACAAGCCAGUUCAAGAUGCUUCUGAAGUACAGGCCUGAAGACAAAGCAGAGAAGAAGGAGCGUCUUUUGAAAAGGGCUCAGGCAGAGACUGAAGGAAAGACUGUUGAAGCCAAGAAGCCUAUUAUUCUCUACCUUCUACUAAUGUUGUAUUUCCUUAUUAUUGAUUCUGUUUGAGUGACAUUUUAUAUAAUGCAUUUAUUUGCAGAACAAGGCCCAGCUUGUGGUUAUCGCUCAUGAUGUCGAUCCAAUUGAGUUGGUUGUAUGGCUCCCUGCUUUAUGCAGAAAGAUGGAGAUCCCCUAUUGCAUUGUGAAGGGCAAAGCACGUUUGGGAGCGAAUGAUGUUGUAUUGCCAGAGCUACUGACAGAGUACAUGGUAGAUAUGAAAUGUGAGGGUUGUGUUAAGGCUUUCAAGAAAAUGCUACAAGUUGUUGAUGGGGUUAAAAGUGUAGAGGCGGACCUCAACACCCAAGUCGUUAGGAUUCUAGCUGCAACCUCUGAAGACCAUGACUGAAACUCUUAAGCAGACGGGUCGAAAAGCGAGAUUGAUUGGGCAAGGGAUCCCAGAAGGUCUUCCCAUUAAAAAAAUUGUGCUCUUGCGUAUCGGAUCUCAUAACUGAAAAGGCGUGUCACAACCCAACCUUGAGUCAUGACUAAGGUGGUGGUUAAAAACUGAAAUCAGAUGGGAGAGGAGAGGCAGCAACCAAUGCACCCAAGCGGAUAUUGAUCAAGUGCGAAAUGAGUGGGGGAAGUUUGUUGUCAACACAUAUGUGCAUGAGCCAUGAAGUAGCGCGCUUGUUGCUGGUCCAUUUUUGCUAAGGAAAGCAUCUUUUUUUGUGCUCAUUGUCAUGCACCAUGUGUUGCAUGUUUUGGAACAAUGGAUAUAUAUGUAUAUGCUUUUUGAUGUCCCAAGUAGAUGGGCAUGCACUAGAAUGCUUUUCUUGUUUAAAAUGUUGGGUUCAAUGAUUAGUGGUUUGCAAUGUUUAUA